GUCCUUUAGUAACAGUGUGUUCCUCAGUAGCACCUCGCUAGGUCCUUUAGUAACAGUGUGUUCCUCAGCAGCACGUCGCUAGGUCCUUUAGUAACAGUGUGUUCCUCAGCAACACCUCGCUAGGUCCUUUAGUAACAGUGUGUUCCUCAGCAACACCUCGCUAGGUCCUUUAGUAACAGUGUGUUCCUUAGCAACACCUCGCUAGGUCCUUUAGUAACAGUGUGUUCCUCAGCAGCACCUCGCUAGGUCCUUUAGUAACAGUGUGUUCCUCAGCAGCACCUCGCUAGGCCCUUUCUUAAAUGGAAGAAAUUUGGAACAACAAACACUCUUCCUAGAGCUGGCUGGCCAGACAAACUGAGCAAUCGGGGGAGGAGGGUCUUGGUCAGCGAGGUUACCAAGAACCCGAUGGUCACUGACAGAGCUCGUCUGUGGAAAUGGAAUAAUCUUCCAGAAGGAUAAACAUCUCUGCAGCAGUCCACCAAUUAGGCCUUUAUGGUAGACUGGCCAGACGGAAGCCACUCCUCAGUAAAAUGCACAUGACAGCCCGCUUAGAGUUUGCCAAAAGGCACCUAAAGACUCUCAGACCAAGAGAAACAAGAUUCUCAGGUCUGAUGAAACCAAGAUUGAACUGUUUGGCCUGAAUGCAAAGCAUCAUGUCUGGAGAAAACCUGGCACCAUCCCUAUGGUGAAGCGUGGUGGUGGGAGCAUCAUGCUGUGGGGAUGUUUUUCAGGACUAAUCAGGAUCAAGGCAAAGAUGAACGGAGCAAAGUACAGAGAUCCUUGAUGAAAACCUGCUCCAGAGUGCUCAGGACCUCAGACUGGGGCAAAGGCUCACCAUCCAACAGGACAAUGACCCUAAGCACACAUCCAAGACAACGCAGGAGUGGCUUCGGGACAAGUCUUUGAAUGUCAUUGAGUGGUCCAGCCAGAGCCCAGACUUGAACCCAACAUCUCUUGAGAGACCUGAAAAUAGGUGUGCAUCAACGCUCCCCAUCCAACCUGACCGAGCUUGAGAGGAUCUGCAAAGCAGAAUGGGAACAACUCCCCAAAUACAGUUGUGACAAGCUUGUAGCGUCAUACCCAAGAAGACUUGAGGCUGUAAUC
ensembl:lncRNA